AUUGAACGCUGGCGGCAUGCUUUACACAUGCAAGUCGAACGGCAGCGCGGGCUUCGGCCUGGCGGCGAGUGGCGAACGGGUGAGUAAUACAUCGGAACGUGCCCAGUAGUGGGGGAUAGCUCGGCGAAAGCCGGAUUAAUACCGCAUACGACCUGAGGGUGAAAGCGGGGGAUCUUCGGACCUCGCGCUAUUGGAGCGGCGGAUGGCGGAUUAGCUAGUUGGUGGGGUAAAGGCCUACCAAGGCGACGAUCUGUAGCUGGUCUGAGAGGACGACCAGCCACACUGGGACUGAGACACGGCCCAGACUCCUACGGGAGGCAGCAGUGGGGAAUUUUGGACAAUGGGCGAAAGCCUGAUCCAGCAAUGCCGCGUGUGUGAUGAAGGCCUUCGGGUUGUAAAGCACUUUUGGCGGGAACGAAAAGGACUGUGCCAAUACCACGGUUCGAUGACGGUACCCGCAGAAUAAGCACCGGCUAACUACGUG
rnacentral:rRNA from 1 species